CAAUCGUUUUCUAAUAAUAGGCACUAUAGGUCGACGAGAGGUCGUGGCGUGUUAAUGGCAACGCGUAUUUGUGAAAAGGAAAAUGGAGAGAGCUCUUCGGAGUUGAAGCUGUUGAGCAGCAACGCGAGGAAGAGGUUCAGCACCAUGAAGUUGCCCAUGACCAACGCUGGUAGGAAAAUGGCGAAGCAGGCGCCCGGCCCGUCCUCCUGCUCGGCCCGCAUGCAGUCCCAGAGCGGCUCGAUCCACUCGCCGCACAGUAUGCGGAAGAUCAUCAUGAACGAGUGAAAGAAAUCGUUGAAGUUCCAACGGGGCACCGGGUCCGGGUAAAACUUGUCCAGCGUGUAGUCCUUGCUGAACAAUUGCAUGCCGAUCACCGCGAAUAUAUAGAUCACGAUCACCAGGACUAACGUCAGAUUCCCGAGGGCCCCGAUCGUCGAGAUGAUUAUGCUGAGCAGCACCUUCAUCGUCGUCCAGGAUUGCGCCAGCUUUAAGACACGGAGCAGCCUAAGUCCGCGUAUCACGGAGAGGCCGUCUACCAGCUCGAAGGUCAGAUCUAUCAGAGACGCUGACACUAUUAUCAAAUCGAAAUUGUUCCACCCGUUGGCGAAGAAGUCUUUGCUCAGCGCCAACAGCUUCAGCAAGCAUUCGAAGCUUCUUCCUCGUAACUCAGCGCAACGACGGCUAGCAUCAAAUUGAUCAAGUAAAACGAGCCGAAAAACACGACCACCGUGAAGAACGAGACGCUGAUAGGUCCGCACGCCGACAACACCUGCGAAACAAGGUCGCCCAGGAGAUCCAUUUAGCCCUGGUUUACCAUUUAUUCCUGGAGCUCCAUCUAAGCCGCUACGCCCAGGAAUUCCAUCGAGACCAGGUUCACCUGGAACUCCAUCUCUGCCAUCAAAACCUGGAUGUCCUACAUCACCUUUUGGCCCACGAAGUCCAGGAGGACCAGUUAAACCAGGCGGUCCCUUCGGACCAGUCAUUCCUCGUAAACCUGGAAGGCCAGGUUCUCCAGGAGCUCCUGGAUUACCUGGUGCUCCCGGGAGUCCUGGUGGACAAUAUUUCAUUGAAGAUCGACAAAAAUUCUCAAUGGCAUCGACCUAUAAUGUAUAAUAACUUUUAUUAAAAUUUCAGAUUUCGUAAAAAAGGAUAAUUUCUACUAUUAGGGAUUCAUAAGUUGGUGUCUAAAAAAAUGCAAGUUUUAUUAACUAAGGUCUGAUCUCCUCUUUAUAGCCCAGCUAUCUUCGCACUGCUGCAAAACCAAAGGCACACUUUCCUGAUAUAAUUGUAACUUAAACUGGAUUACAUUUACAAAACUACUACUUUCGUUGAAUACCAAAUUGAAAUUUCUGUGACUUUUAUCAUUAGAAUUCUGCAGAAUUAAUACAUGCAUUUUCCUCACCAAUAUCUUAUUUUCUGAGAUACCAACUGUUCAGUCGUCUGCAAUGCAUUUAUUAAAAUGUAAUAAUACAAAAAUUUAUACCUGGACACGAGUGUCUGCGUUUAACCAUACCCAAUCAUGUCCCAUAGGAGUAAUCGGCGAAGAUGCUGCACCGGACAUUGCUGCAGGAGGUGAAGUAACUUUCUUAGAUUCCUUCAACAUAUCUUUUUCGUCCCAUAUCUAAAAUAUAAAAACAAAUAUAUAUACGCAAAUCGUAGCUUUUUAUACAUACAACAUAGUAAUAAUAUAUACUCUUGAAAUAUCUGAAACUUUAUUAUCUUCUGUCACAGGCAAUGCACUGUUUCGUUUCUUACGUAUAAAU